GCCAGGCGUGGUGGCUCACGCCUGUAAUCCCAGCACUUUGGGAGGCUGAGGUGGGUGGAUCACCUGAGGUCAGGAGUUCAAGACCAGCCUGGCCAACAUGGUGAAACCCCAUCUCUA
rnacentral:SRP_RNA from 1 species